AUCACCACCGGACGGAACUGGUCGUGAGGGUUGGGGAACCCGCUGACCGGCCAGGACCGAGACGUGCGAGGGUCCCAGGGAGCCCAAGCAGUCGCUCUGGCGAAGGAG
ncrna:unclassified sequences Actinomyces-1 RNA